AUCGCUUCGCAGAUUCUCCACCACUUCAACCCGAUUCCCUCUACAAUACGAAAUGAUCAUCAACCGACCUUCUUAUCCUCUGCCGCCCCAUCAGAAUCGACGAACACCCGCCAGAAUCAGCUCCGACAACUCUCCCGAGCUCCACUCCUCCGAGGAUUCCACUUCCGAAUUGGGGUUCGAGAGCUGGGUGGAUCGGAAGCUUAUAUCCGAGAGUGAAGCUGUGUCCGGUAAGGAAGGCGUGGUCAUGGAUAAGGCCAUGAGGAAAUACUAUAAUAAAAGAAGGAAGAGGAUGUAUGGGUCUGAUUCUGAUGAAGAUAAUAA
rnacentral:misc_RNA from 1 species